rnacentral:rRNA from 1 species
AAAAACUUAAAAUUUAAAAGACUUGACGGUACUUCACACCACCCUAGAGGAGCCUGUCCAAUAACCGAUACCCCACGAUUAACCCAACCCACUCUAGCCCCCCAGUCUAUAUACCGCCAUCGCCAGCUUACCUUGUGAAAGAAACAAAGUGAGCCAAAAAGCAACCCUGCUAACACGAUAGGUCGAGGUGUAACUUAUGGGUGGGGACAGGAUGGGCUACAUUUUCUAAGACAGAAAACACCAACAAUUAACAUAAGAAUAAACCGAAGGCGGAUUUAAUAGUAUACUAAGGACAUGAUACUUAACCGAAACAAACGCAAUGAGGUGCGUACACACCGCCCGUCAUCCCUG